rnacentral:rRNA from 1 species
UACGAAGGGGGCUAGCGUUGCUCGGAAUCACUGGGCGUAAAGGGUGCGUAGGCGGGUCUUUUAAGUCAGGGGUGAAAUCCUGGAGCUCAACUCCAGAACUGCCUUUGAUACUGAAGAUCUUGAGUUCGGGAGAGGUGAGUGGAACUGCGAGUGUAGGAGGUAGAAAUUCGAUAGAUAUUCGCAAGAACACCAGUGGCGAAGGCGGGAUCUCUGGGCCUUACUGACGCUGAG